CCUACGUGUGGCAGCAGUGGGGAAUAUUGCACAAUGGGGGAAACCCUGAUGCAGCGACGCCGCGUGAGUGCAGCAGUAAUUCGUUACGUAAAGCUCUAUCAGCAGGGAAGAAACACUGACCUUACGGUCAGCAGACGGUACCUGAGUAAGAAGCCCCGGCUAAAUACGUGCCAGCAGCCGCGUUAAUCCGUAGGGGGCAAGCGUUAUCCGGAUUUACUGGGGGUAACGGGAGCGUAGACGGUGCGCCAAGUCUGGAGUGAAAUGGAGCAGCUUAACUGCGGAACGGCUUUGGAAACUGGCGAACGAGAGGGCGGGAGGGGUAAGCGGAAUUCCUAGUGUAGCGGUGAAAUGCGUAGAUAUUAGGAGGAACACCGGUGGCGAAGGCGGCUUACUGGACCGUAACUGACGUUGAGGCUCGAAAGCGUGGGGAGCAAACAGGAUUAGAUACCCCUGUAGUC
rnacentral:rRNA from 1 species